rnacentral:rRNA from 1 species
GAUGAACGCUAGCUACAGGCUUAACACAUGCAAGUCGAGGGGAAACGAUAUUGGAAGCUUGCUUCCGAUAGGCGUCGACCGGCGCACGGGUGAGUAACGCGUAUCCAACCUGCCCACCACUUGGGGAUAACCUUGCGAAAGUAAGACUAAUACCCAAUGAUAUCUCUAGAAGACAUCUGAAAGAGAUUAAAGAUUUAUCGGUGAUGGAUGGGGAUGCGUCUGAUUAGCUUGUUGGCGGGGCAACGGCCCACCAAGGCUACGAUCAGUAGGGGUUCUGAGAGGAAAGCCCCCCACAUUGGAACUGAGACACGGUCCAAACUCCUACGGGAGGCAGCAGUGAGGAAUAUUGGUCAAUGGGCGAGAGCCUGAACCAGCCAAGUAGCGUGCAGGAUGACGGCCCUAUGGGUUGUAAACUGCUUUUAUGCGGGGAUAAAGUGGGCCACGUGUGGCCCUUUGCAGGUACCGCAUGAAUAAGGACCGGCUAAUUCCGUGCCAGCA